rnacentral:rRNA from 1 species
UACGGAGGGUGCGAGCGUUGUCCGGAAUCACUGGGCGUAAAGGGCGCGUAGGCGGCGCGGGUAGUCAUCGGUGAAAGUUCAGGGCUCAACUCUGAAUCGGCCGGUGAUACUCCCGUGCUCGAGCACUGUAGAGGCAGGUGGAAUUCCGGGUGUAGCGGUGGAAUGCGUAGAGAUCCGGAAGAACACCGGUGGCGAAGGCGGCCUGCUGGGCAGUAGCUGACGCUGAUGCGCGACAGCGUGGGGAGCAAGCAGG